rnacentral:rRNA from 1 species
AUAUAAAAUUAUUAGAUAAUAUUAAAAUUUAUUUUGCUUAAAACAUUAUUAGAUUGAGUAAAGGCGAUUAAAAAUUAUUUCAUUUAUCUAAUUAAAGUACCGUCGGGGAAUAUAUAUAAAUUAAGAAAAAGAAAAAAUUAAAUUUUGUACCUUUUGCAUCAUGGUUUAGCUAGAUUUAAAUUAGAUAUUUAAUUUCUCGAAAUUUAAUGAGCUAUUUUUAGUCUAUAUAUUAGUAUAAAAGGAAUAAUUGUAGCAAAAAUUUUCCUAGAACUAAAAAUAGAAAUGAAAUUUUAUUCGCAUUAAAUGAUAGCUAGUUCUCCUAAAAAAGUAUAAAAGUACCCUGAAUUAGAAUUUAUCCUGUAAACUUUAUACNGNAUAAAAUUUAAUUUAAAUAAAUUUCUGAGGAUNAGCNCNNAAAUAUAAUUAAAUAACACAUAUAAAUUAAUAUUAAAUUUGAGCUUGAAAAUAGCUAAAAUCAAGAUUUUGUUACAAUAUCAUUAUCUUACUAAAAACAUAAUUGAUUUGUGUAUUUNAAAAGGAGAGACUUCAAAAAUUUAUAUAUGAAUUAUACUUAUGCUAAAAUGAGUAUUUAUACAUUUUAUCUNUNCUAGAAAUCUAAAGACUAGAAAUUUAUUUUUAAUGUACCUUAAAAACUAUAGAAAGGANUUCGGCAAAAUGAAAUGUUCUGCCUGUUUAUUAAAAACAUGGCUCCUUGUAAUUAAAAAAUAGGGAGUCGGACCUGCCCGGUGAAACUUUUUAACGGCCGCGGUACUCUGACCGUGCAAAGGUAGCAUAAUAAUUUGCCUUAUAAUUGAAGGCUAGUAUGAAUGGUUUGACAAGAACAUUACUGUCUCUUUAUAGUUUGUUAGAACUUUAUUUUAAGGUGAAGAAGCCUUAAUGUAAUUGAUAGACAAGAAGACCCUAUCGAGCUUUAAAAAAUUUAGAAGGUUUAGCUUAAUAGUAUUAAAAAAUAAACUUUUAAAAAUUUUGGUUGGGGCGACUGAGGAACAAUAAUAGCUUCCUUUUAUACCUUUUAACAUACGGGUUUUGAUCCUGAAGUUUUGAUUGAAGAAAUUAGUUACCGUAGGGAUAACAGCAUUAUCUUUUUUAAGAGCCCUUAUCGAAAAAAAGGUUUGUGACCUCGAUGUUGGACCAGAAUAUCCUAAAGGUGUAGAAGCCUUUAAGGGUUGGUCUGUUCGACCAUUAAAAUUCUACGUGAUCUGAGUUUAGACCGGCGUGAGCCAGGUCAGUUUCUAUCUUCAAUUCUUAGAAUAGCCUUAGUACGAAAGGACCAGCUUAUUAUAAAAGAAUAUUAAAAAAGAAAAAAUAUAAUAAAAAAUUUAGUUGC